rnacentral:lncRNA from 1 species
GCAGAGCGUGGAUUCUGAGUCUCAGCUGGUAAACAGGAUCUGGCUGCAGUGUUUGUCUAGGCAUUAAAUAUGGCUGGUUGUUUUUUCUUGUUUUCAACAAAUAUACCUUUGUGAUAAGAACUUGCCCUCAAAGAAACAAACACGCAGAAAACCAUAUGAAGAAAGAUGGAUUCCCCAGCAUCCCAUCCUCCUCCCCUGCUGAGACCCUUCUGCACCACUCAGAGGGUGGGACAGAGAGGGGCAGAGUCACCUCCUUCUCUUUGUUCACCUGUAAAUGCCUCACCACCCUCAUGAUCAUCUGGGCUUCAGCUAAAGAGAUCUCAGAGAUUGGGGACCUCAGAGAGAGAGGCAGUGGGAGGCAGCAUGGAUCACCACAGUCUGACCCGGAAGAAGAACCUGGUCUACUUUUGGCCCACUCAACUGUGACAGCACCAUGGAUGACAGAGCUGUGUGGCCAAGGAAGCUAGGAAGUCCCCAGCCCUACCCUGAGAAUAACCAGUUUUGCCAGGGUAGUGGAGAAAGUGUGGCAGCCAGAAAAAUGGAAAUGACACUGCGGUGUGGAUAGACAACUAGUAAUUUCGAGAGUGGAC